rnacentral:rRNA from 1 species
GUGAGGAAUUUUCCGCAAUGGGCGAAAGCCUGACGGAGCAAUGCCGCGUGAAGGAUGAAGGCCUAUGGGUUGUAAACUUCUUUUCUCAGAAAAGAAUUAUGACGGUAUCUGAGGAAUAAGCAUCGGCUAACUCUGUGCCAGCAGCCGCGGUAAGACAGAGGAUGCAAGCGUUAUGCGGAAUGAUUGGGCGUAAAGCGUCUGUAGGUUGUUUAAAAAGUAUUCUGUCAAGAAAUAGGGCUUAACCCUAGAUAGGCAGAAUAAACUUUUAAGCUAGAGUUUGGUAGAGGCAGAGGGAAUUACCGGUGGAGCGGUGAAAUGCGUAGAUAUCGGCAGGAACACCAACGGCGAAGGCACUCUGCUGGGCAGAUACUAACACUGAGAGACAAAAGCGAGGGGAGCAAAUGGGAUUAGAUACCCUAGUAGUCC